rnacentral:lncRNA from 1 species
AUAUGAAAGUUAUUGCCUUUUAUUGAUAUUUUCCUUUGAUCUUUCUGUAUAAAUUUCCAUCUCAUACUACAGAUGGGUUUUAAACUUUUUUCUUAUUCAAGUAGAAAGAGAAUGUAUGCCAUCAUAUUUAUGAUAUGAUUACUUCAUUUAUAAUAUUUAGAAAAAUUGUGAUUAAACAAUAAUCAAUAGUCCUUUUAACUUGGCUUCACCUCAUCUCAGGAUUAUUGCCCUUUAAUGAGAUUGUAGCCGAGAAACUCAUUCUAGUUAGAAGAACCUCUGAUAAUCUAUGAAUUUUAUAACUAUACUUUGUAUUAUAACACAAUUUAAGAGUCUGAAUUUCAUAGAGUAGUGUAUAUUAUAUUGCUUGGGAGAGUGAAAGUUGUUAUUUGAUACAGAAUUU